rnacentral:rRNA from 2 species
AUGCAAGUCGAGCGGUAGAGAGAAGCUUGCUUCUCUUGAGAGCGGCGGACGGGUGAGUAAUGCCUAGGAAUCUGCCUGGUAGUGGGGGAUAACGCUCGGAAACGGACGCUAAUACCGCAUACGUCCUACGGGAGAAAGCAGGGGACCUUCGGGCCUUGCGCUAUCAGAUGAGCCUAGGUCGGAUUAGCUAGUUGGUGAGGUAAUGGCUCACCAAGGCGACGAUCCGUAACUGGUCUGAGAGGAUGAUCAGUCACACUGGAACUGAGACACGGUCCAGACUCCUACGGGAGGCAGCAGUGGGGAAUAUUGGACAAUGGGCGAAAGCCUGAUCCAGCCAUGCCGCGUGUGUGAAGAAGGUCUUCGGAUUGUAAAGCACUUUAAGUUGGGAGGAAGGGCAGUAAAUUAAUACUUUGCUGUUUUGACGUUACCGACAGAAUAAGCACCGGCUAACUCUGUGCCAGCAGCCGCGGUAAUACAGAGGGUGCAAGCGUUAAUCGGAAUUACUGGGCGUAAAGCGCGCGUAGGUGGUUCGUUAAGUUGGAUGUGAAAUCCCCGGGCUCAACCUGGGAACUGCAUUCAAAACUGUCGAGCUAGAGUAUGGUAGA